GCUGAAGCGGGGGUAAGACCCCGUGGAGGGCCGAACGCACGUCGGUUGAAAACGGCGGCGAUGACCUGCGGAUAGGGGUGAAAGGCCAAUCAAACCCGGAGAUAUCUCGUUCUCCCCGAAAUAGCUUUAGGGCUAGCGUCGCGCGUUCACCGCCGGAGGUAGAGCACCGGAUGGACGAGGGGGCUUCGCCGCCUACCGAAUCCAACCGAACUCCGAAUGCCGGCGGCCCAGAGCGCGGCAGUCAGAGCAUGUGGGCUAAGCUGUGUGCUCGAGAGGGAAACAGCCCGGACCGCCCGCUAAGGUCCCCAAGUUCCAGCCGAGUGGCAAAGGAUGUGCGUCCGCCCAGACAACCAGGAUGUUGGCUUAGAAGCAGCCAUGCAUUCAAAGAGUGCGUAACAGCUCACUGGUCGAGUGGACAUGCGCCGACAAUACACGGGGCUAAGCUGGACACCGAAGCGGCGGGAUUUUGAUUUUCAGAAUCGGUAGGGGAGCUUCCCAUGGGCGGUGAAGCCGCCGGGCGACCGGCGGUGGAGCGCAUGGGAGUGAGAAUGCUGGCAUGAGUAGCGAGAGACGAGAGAGUAACUCGUCCGCCGUGAACCCGAGGUUUCCUGGGCAAGGCUAAUCCUCCCAGGGUCAGUCGGGGGCUAAGGCGAGGCCGGAAGGCGUAGCCGACGCGCAGCAGGCAGACAUUCCUGCACCGCGCACGCGGCGCUACGACCGACGGGGCGACGGAUGGGGGUGGCUCGGCGGGGUUCUGGACGUCCCCGUGAUGGAGCGCGGCCCGCGGACCAGGGAAAUCCGGUCCGCACGAGGGCGAGGCUCCGGACGAAGCGAUCAAGCGAAGCGAGUGAGCCCGAGGUCCCUAGAAAAACCCCUAGGCAGGCGCGUGCGCGCCCGUACCGCAAACCGACACAGGUGGGUGGGUAGAACAUACCGAGGCGAUCGGGUCAACCAUGGUCAAGGAACUCGGCACAAUGGCCCCGUAACUUCGGGAGAAGGGGUGCCCGCGCGUACGUGAACGGACUUGCUCCGGGAGCGGAGGCGGGCCGCAGUGGAGAGGCCCAAGCGACUGUUUACCAAAAACACAGGACUCUGCAGAAGCCGCAAGGCGACGUAUAGGGUCUGACGCCUGCCCGGUGCCGGAAGGUCACGCGGAGGAGUUAGCGCAUCGCGCGAAGCCCCGAAGCCAAGCCCCGGUAAACGGCGGCCGUAACUAUAACGGUCCUAAGGUAGCGAAAUUCCUUGUCGGGUAAGUUCCGACCUGCACGAAAGGCGCAACGACUUGGGCGCUGUCUCGACCAUGGACCCGGUGAAAUUGCACUGGUCGUGAAGAUGCGACUUACCCGCGGAAGGACGGAAAGACCCCGUGAACCUUCACUGCAGCUUGGCAUUGGCCGCUGGUCCCGCGUGUAGAGGAUAGGCAGGAGGCGCAGAUCCGGAGGCGCCAGCCCCCGGGGAGCCGCCCUUGGAAUACUGCCCUCGCGCGACCGGCGUCCUAACCCGAGGCCGUCAACCGGCUCGGGGACCGUGCCAGGCGGGCAGUUUGACUGGGGCGGUCGCCUCCUAAAGAGUAACGGAGGCGCGCGAACGUCCGCGCGGGACGGUCGGCAACCGUCCUUUUGAAUGCAAGAGUACAAGCGGGCUUGACUGCGAGGCCCACAAGUAUUGAUAAUGGUGCAAAGGUCAAUGAGAAGCUUCUUGACACAUACAGAAAAUGGGACAAGGAAAACCCAUUCGACUUAGGCGAGGGCUGGGGCGGAGAGCCUUGGUCGCAGAAAGAGAUGCCACUUGACGAGGGACUUGUCAAAGAAACUGCAAAAAGCUGUGAAACUGCCAUUGUGAUAAUAGGCAGGACGGCAGGCGAGGAGCAGGACAAUAAGCUGGAGGCAGGCUCUUAUUUGCUCAGCGAUGACGAGAUAGCUAUGCUCACGGUGGUGAGGGAGAAUUUCAAGAAAGUUGUUUUGCUUCUCAACGUGGGAAAUAUCAUAGAUAUGACCGACAUAAACAGAAUUGCCCCUGACGCUGUGCUUU
rnacentral:rRNA from 1 species